rnacentral:rRNA from 1 species
GGGGGAAACCCUGAUCCAGCAAUGCCGCGUGAGUGAAGAAGGCCUUCGGGUUGUAAAGCUCUUUUGUCAGGGAAGAAACAGCAGCUCUAAUACAGUCUGCGAAUGACGGUACCUGAAGAAUAAGCACCGGCUAACUACGUGCCAGCAGCCGCGGUAAUACGUAGGGUGCAAGCGUUAAUCGGAAUUACUGGGCGUAAAGCGUGCGCAGGCGGUUAUGCAAGACAGUCGUGAAAUCCCCGGGCUCAACCUGGGAAUUGCGAUUGUGACUGCAUAGCUAGAGUAUGUCAGAGGGGGGUAGAAUUCCACGUGUAGCAGUGAAAUGCGUAGAUAUGUGGAGGAAUACCAAUGGCGAAGGCAGCCCCCUGGGACAAUACUGACGCUCAUGCACGAAAGCGUGGGGAGCAAACAGGAUUAGAUACCCUGGUAGUCCACGCCCUAAACGAUGCUGACUAGUUGUUCGGGAAUUUAUUCCUGAGUAACGUAGCUAACGCGUGAAGUCAGCCGCCUGG